rnacentral:lncRNA from 1 species
CCGCGGCUCCGAAACAACGGCCCGGGCGCUGCGGGCUCUGCUCUCUGCUGGGCUGGCAGGCGGCAGUCGCCCCACGCCGGGGUCCUGCGCAGCGGCGCAGCGAGGACGGCGCGCCCGGCUGGGAGCGGCGCGGGUCCGAGGGCGACGCCUGAGUCCGGCAUCCGGGCCGCCCGCACCUCUCCGUCCGCGGAGCCCCCGAGCGCUCGGCUCAGCUGCCUGCGGCCCCAGGUGAGUACGUGGUGCGAGGGGUCCACGCGGGCCGGGUCGGGCCUUGGCCUCCGGCUGCACAAGCAUCGCGGGCUGCGGGCCCCGAGCAGGCGGAGGAGUGCGGGCGGGCGAGCUCUGCUGCCCAGAGCGCCCACACUCGAGGUGCGGCGGAGGGGCCGGGCCGGGCACCGGCAGGGUGGCCCCAGCCCGGGGACCUGGUGGGGUGAGCGCGGGUUCCUCACUGGCGCGUGAUUGGAUUCGAAGAAUGAACUGGAAGGAAACGGAGGAGCUGCCCUGGCGGGGUUGCUGCCUUCCAAGGUCCCGCCGGAUGAGGAGCUGUCAGGGGACACCUGAGUCCGGAGUCGGGGCGGGGUGGGGGGCUCCCUGCCGCUCCGGGUGGGGCUACUAGCAGUGUCCACCGUCCUCUUUGUUGUGCAACGAAAUCGGUAUCGGCAACCCCAGGUCUUCCACUCGGAACCCUGCGCCUUGUCGUUGAAAGGCGGCCAGAGCGAGCAGACCCUGGAGCCCGGGUCCUCGCAGAGAGGCGCCCGACUGGGAGGCAGCAGCGCCUGGCUGCGCUGAGGGAAGGCCUGGUGCACUGCAGUGGCGGCGGUGCCUGGGCCUUGCACCUUUGGGCCUCUGCAGCUUGCCGGAGUGCUUGCCGAGAUUCCAGCCCCUCUGCCGUCCCCAGAGCUCCAGGGCCGGGUCUGCAGCACGCUGACUUUGGAAGCCAGGACUUGCUGCGGACUGUUGCUUCUGCUCUUUUCUGCCCUCGAGUUGGAGGCUGCAGACUGGACCCCUUUUCCUCUCCCAUGGGUCCAGGCGGGACCAGCUCCCAGAGCGCGGGGAGCUCAGAGGAGGCUCCGAGCUGCCUGCCUGCGGCAUCCUGCACGGAGCAGUCAACGGAAUCCGUUUCCCACACUUUCCCUCUCCGUCCCAGGACUGUUAAAUAUUCGCCAACAAAUCCUGUCGUUGCGCUGGCACUGCGUGUGCUCUCCUGCCACAGGCUCGCUCCACGCCCCACCGUGUCCAGCUGGGGAGACCCUUGCCUGGUCUCCGUCCGCCCGUGUCACUGUCACGGGGCACCGAGGAACUCCACAGGCCACAGCGCCCUGUGUGCACCUGGCUCGGAGGCCCACAGCCGCGCCACCGGAUGGCUGCCCUCCUAGAUGCACCCACUGCCUCCCCUUCCUGCGCCCCGCUCGGGCAAGGCCCUGACAGCAACGAAAACUGGGAGCAGAAGCGCUGGCUCGCACGGCCAGGCAGCCUGGACCGAGGAGCCACAGGGUGGGAGCAGACUCCAAAUCAGCGCCCGCGGAAUCCACAUCUCCUGUUGGGCUCUGGACCAUGAACUGCGUCCCGCACCGCGCCUGGCACAGAGGCCCCCAACCAGGGAAGGGACACAUCCGCCUCUAACCUGACAGGGUCUCUAAGUCACUAAAUUCCCCAGGCUGUGUUCAAAGGGAAUCCUCCUGCCUCAGCCUUCUAGCAUGCUGAGAUUACAGAGCUCUGACACCUGGCCCGAGCCAGCCAGUGAGUGCAGAGCCCCUGGAGUGGUGUCCUAGGAGCUCCUGGAAGACCAGAGGACUGAGGCUGAGCCCCCUGCCUGUCUAUCCCAGCUCCCACGUGGCAUUCAGCAAGUGGGUGCCAGCAGCAUGUGACCGGAACAUUGAAGGGAACCAGCCACCAGAGCCCUGCUGUGACAGCACAGGGAUUUAGGAAGGAAAUGGACUUGCUGCGGGGCCCUCCAUGCACAGGACAUGGGGUUCGGUGGAGAGCCCUCAAGCUCUGUGAAAUCUGUUCUGGAGGGUUCAGGCUCCCUGAAACCUGGGCACUGCUGGGCCCUGCAGGGCCUGGGUGUCGCCUGGCUCCCUCCCACCCCUGGAUCUCAACAUUGUGCCCCGUGAAGCUCACAGUGACCCCUGUGGCAGGUGCUGAGAGGGUUCCACUGAGGCUCAGGGGCACGAGCCUAUCAGGCACAGGGACCUGUCUCAGGCAGCCACAGCAGGACUCACAUGAGGCACUGCCGACACACCUUUAUCCCAGGGUAUUGGCUUUCAGGGUGACAGAGGUGUGACCAGGGAGGGAGCCCUGGCCUAGGGUUUCCUUGCAGCCCCCCCCCCCUUGCCCCAUGAGGUCAGAGGUGGUGCUGGCCUCUUGGUCACCUGCGUGCAUGCCUGGGCCCAGGAGGGUUAGGCCAUGCGGGGUCCGUGCUUCCUGAACCCACCUCUUGCUGGGGAGCCCCCCUUGCCCACACCCUGAGGCACUGAGCCGGGGCUGCCUGGGUCCGAUGGGGCCCACACCUCAGCCAGCGGCCUUGGGCUCGCUUGGGGACUAACACACGGAGCAGGUCACGCUCGGUCUCUGCACCUCUAAUGAGGUAUUUCCAAUCAUGAAGGUGCGUUUGAAGAAAUAGGAAUCCGUUAAGUGUGCGGGAGCCAGGCCCGCGUGGAACCUGGUGGUUCUAACGAGUGCCAGCGCCAGCUUCCACAUUGGAGAAAUAACAGUUUCUCAUAGAAAUGUGGCAUUUUUAAAGGAGGUUAAUUAAUAAACAGCAGGUAAUUGUUCGUGGCACAUUGUGGCAGAGGGUAAUUUUCAUUUUAGAGGAUGGAAGGGCCAAAUGCCCCUCCCCACUCAGCAUUUUUCUGUAAUAAUCACCUUGGCUUCCCCUCCGCCUUUAAUUUUUACAGCUGGAGCUGUUUAUCAUCACUCCAACUUUCACUAAAAAGGCAAAACUAUCACUUAAACAAAGCCAUUGAAAACUCAGCAUCAUCUGUGGAUUUCUUAACAUAAAUAAAUCAUACAAACCAAGAUUUAUGUUCUGGGGAUGAUGUCAUUCAUUGAAGGCUGCCUUCCCAAUCAAAUCAGCGUUGUGUGAUUUCCCCUUGUGUGUGUGAUUUCUGCUAAGUAAGAACAACUCG